rnacentral:misc_RNA from 1 species
GGAACGAAGAAAAGCAGGAAGAGUGGGGCAAGUGCUGAAAUCUCUGGUGUGCAGGAUGAGCUAUGUGGAGAUAGGAACAAUGAUGCACUUGAUGAAACAUCACACACUGAGACUCUUGCAAAUAAAGUUAAAAUUUUGGGUAGCAAGGAAAGCAGUGAAGCUUGCACCGAGUUCAAUCAUAGGGAUAGCUUGAAGAUCACAAUCCCGGAGAACUCCACAGCAGGUAAACCAAUAAAGGCAGCUUCAACAGAAGAAACAUUAGGGGACCAAUCUGUGAGAACAGAUACAACCGAUAAGAAGAGGAAGAAGAAAAAUAAGAAGGGGAAGGACUCAUCCACGUGCCAUGAUGAG